rnacentral:lncRNA from 1 species
UGGACUGGUCAUGGCAGCAGAUCAGGAAAAAUUCAGGACCCUAUGUAGUACACGCACUUCGGAAGCCCACCAAAGCUCACAGCCAUAGCGGUGCACGACUAAUGGUACCCCAUAGCAAGGUCAGAGUUAACCACUAACUCUUCUUUCACUUUUCUCUCCAUUUCUCUAUGAACUCAUGAAUAAAACGGCUGCCCUACCUGC